AGAGUUUGAUCCUGGCUCAGGAUGAACGCUAGCGACAGGCUUAACACAUGCAAGUCGAGGGGCAGCGAGGGAGUGGCAACACUUCUGUCGGCGACCGGCGCACGGGUGAGUAACGCGUAUGCAACCUGCCCUUCACAGGGGGAUAACCGGGAGAAAUUCCGACUAAUACCGCAUACGUCCUCCGGGGGCAUCCCCGGGGGAUGAAAGAGUUAUCGGUGAAGGAUGGGCAUGCGUGAUAUUAGGUAGUUGGCGGGGCAACGGCCCACCAAGCCCACGAUAUCUAGGGGUUCUGAGAGGAAGGUCCCCCACAUUGGUACUGAGACACGGACCAAACUCCUACGGGAGGCAGCAGUGAGGAAUAUUGGUCAAUGGACGCAAGUCUGAACCAGCCAUGCCGCGUGCAGGAUGACGGCUCUAUGAGUUGUAAACUGCUUUUGUACGAGGGUAAACUCACCUACGUGUAGGUGACUGAAAGUAUCGUACGAAUAAGGAUCGGCUAACUCCGUGCCAGCAGCCGCGGUAAUACGGAGGAUUCAAGCGUUAUCCGGAUUUAUUGGGUUUAAAGGGUGCGUAGGCGGUUAGAUAAGUUAGAGGUGAAAUCCCGGGGCUUAACUCCGAAAUUGCCUCUAAUACUGUUUGACUAGAGAGUAGUUGCGGUAGGCGGAAUGUAUGGUGUAGCGGUGAAAUGCUUAGAGAUCAUACAGAACACCGAUUGCGAAGGCAGCUUACCAAACUAUAUCUGACGUUGAGGCACGAAAGCGUGGGGAGCAAACAGGAUUAGAUACCCUGGUAGUCCACGCAGUAAACGAUGAUAACUCGCUGUCGGCGAUACACAGUCGGUGGCUAAGCGAAAGCGAUAAGUUAUCCACCUGGGGAGUACGUUCGCAAGAAUGAAACUCAAAGGAAUUGACGGGGGCCCGCACAAGCGGAGGAACAUGUG
rnacentral:rRNA from 1 species